GAAAUUCCGUCGGAAUCCGGGAGGACCAUCUCCCAAGGCUAAAUACUCCCUAGUGACCGAUAGUGAACCAGUACCGUGAGGGAAAGGUGAAAAGCACCCCGGAAGGGGAGUGAAACAGUUCCUGAAACCGUGUGCCUACAAGUAGUUAGAGCCCGUUAAUGGGUGAUAGCGUGCCUUUUGUAGAAUGAACCGGCGAGUUACGAU
rnacentral:rRNA from 1 species